rnacentral:lncRNA from 1 species
ACUAAUAUCUGUUGUCUAAAAUGGCUGCUUUAUAGACAUUUAUGGUAUGGAAUUAAAUUUUACUGGCUGUGUUUUGUUCUGAGGUUGAUCUGAUCUACAUAGUAGGCAAAGAUUUUAAAGUGAGACAUCUUCCUAAAUUUCUCUAAGGUUUCCUUUCUGGAGUACAGAAAGCACUGCAUUUCUAGCCAGGAGAUCUAAGGGCUUAGAAUAUGAAGUACUAACGGCAUUUAAGAUCCCCGGGUCAUUUUUUUUCACACUGAAGAUGGGAGUGUUUGAGAAACAAAAGGAACAGGCUAUAGGUGCAAGCAGUUUGUAAACAGUUCAGCCCUGUACAAAAUUGGCCAAUUUUGUUUUUACCAGUUCUCAGGGUCCAUGGUUUCUGUUAUAUAUAGCACUUCAGUACUGCUUUUUUGUCCUAAGGUCACUUCCCUCUGGCUUCUAGUGAUAUUGUAUUACUUCUUAGAUUCAAAAAUCUGGGAUUUGAUAAAUAACAACUGCCCUGUCUUCUAAGCACAUCACAUGUGUCAUUUGUCUUCACAAGUAUGAGGAAGAAUCCUAGAAGUGCUAUACAGCUAAUAAGUGGCAGAGCCUAUGUUCAAAUCCAGAUAGGCUCUGUGCACACUCCUUAUACAUAUCAUACCACAUUGAUGCCUGGGCACAGGGCACACAAGUCUCCUGAGGACAGAGAUGGUAUCUUAUUCCUUUCAGUGCUCAAGAAGUCCAGUACUCUGUUUUUCAGUGUCACUCAAUAUGUUUGUUAAGUGAAUAAGCUGUCCGUAUGUUCAAUUUACAUUCUAAGUCCUAUAAUCAAAGCUCAUUUUCUCUGGUUUUGAUAUCAAAAAAGAUAAAUUAAUGCCAUACACAAAAAAAUAAACACAAAAUGGAUUAAAGACCUAAAUAUAAGACUAGAUACUAUAAAACUCUUAGAGGGAAAACAUACACCAAACACUCUCUGACAUAAGCCAUAGUAAUAUCUUCUCAGAUUCACCUCCUAGAGUAAUGAAAACAAAAGCAAAAAUUUAAAAAAAUGGGACCUAAUUGAACUUAAAUAUUUUUUACACAGCAAAGGAAACCUUAAACAAAAUGAAAAGACAAUUCACAGAAUUUGCAAAUUAAGUGACUGACAAGGGAUUGAUCUCCAAAAUAUACAAACAACUCAUGCAGCUCAAUAUCAAAAAAAACAAACCAUGUAAUCACAAAAUAGGCAGAUCUAAAUAGACAUUUCUCCAAAGACGUACAGAGGGCCAAAAAAACAGAUGAAAAGAUCCUUUACAUCACUAAUAAUUAGACAGAUGCAAACCAAAACUACUAUGAGGUACCACCUUGCACCAGACAGAAUAGCCAUCAUCAAAAAGUCUACAAUUAAUAAAUGCUGGAGAGGGUGUGGAGAAAAGGGAACCCUCUUAUGCUGCUGGUGGGAAUGUAAAUUGCUAUAAUCACCAUGGAAAACUGUAUGGCAAGUCCUCAAAACACUAAAAACAGAACUACCAUAUGAUCUAACAAUCCCAAAUCCUGGGGAUGUAUCCAGGACAACACUGAUUUGAAAAGGUAAAUGCACCCCAAUGCUCACUCCAUCACUAUUUACAGUAGUCAAGACAUGGAAUCAAUCUAAAUGUCCAUUGACAGAGGAAUGAAUAGAGAAGAUGUAGUACAUAUAUAUAAUGGAUUAUUACUCAGCUGCAAAAAAAGAAUAUCAUAAUGCCAUUUGCAACAACAUGAAUGUAUUCAGGGAUUAUUAUGCUAAAUGAAGUUAGACAGUGAAAGACAAACAUCAUAGGAUAUGAUUGAUAUGUAGAAUUUUAAAAAAAGGACACAGAACAGAUACAGUCUCACAGAUUCUGGAAACAAACUUAUGGUUAUCACAGAGGACAGGUUGGGGAGAGGGGAGAGAUGGACUGGAGAUUUAUACACACUGAGGUAUAUGGAAUGACUGGCCAAAGGGGACCUGAUGUAUAUCACAGAAUACCCAAUAUUCUGUGAUAAUCUAUGUGGGAAAAGAAGCUGAAAGAGAAUGGGUGUGUAUAUAUGUAUAACUGGAUUUCUCUGCUGUACAAAAGAAAUUACUGUAACAUUGUAAGUCAACUAUAUUUGAAUACAAAUUUAAAAAUUGUAAAACAAGAUAAAUUAUUUGGUUGGUUAACAUCUUUAUAUCAGUGUUGUGUGAUGUUUGUAUCACAUUAUAUUUAUUUUUUGUUUUAUUUUUUUAACAGUUCUUUUCAUAUGACUAUAUUUGUGGGGUAUAAACAUAUAUCCUAACUUUCUACACUGCACUUUAAGUAUUGUUAAUGGAGAGAAAUAUUAGAACCAUAAAAAUUUUCCAGACCCUUCUCUCUCCCCAAGAAAGAAAAAACAGGGUAAGAAAGAAAAUACACAACCAGAAUAUUUUAUUAUUCUAAAACAGAAUUAAGGCAGUUCCCAAAACAAAAAAAAUAUCAGGAUGGAAAUAAAUUCAAAUUUAAAAAUGAAGCAAUGUGAAAAUAAUAAUAGGAAAUAAGAUCAGGACGAGAAUUAAGCUGGUAGCUUCUUAUCAGAACAUAAUUUGAUAAAAGGAAAUUCACACAGCACUAGUAAGAUGUAGUCCAGUGCCAGUUCUAUGUUUGUCUGUCCUAAUCCAAGAGAAUCUUAAGAGUACCAGGGUAGGAGAGUUUGGGCAUUAGAAAAAUCUGUGAUCCUCUUGAUAACUAGUGUGUGCUGAGGGCACUGUGUACACUGUAUGUGAAUAUUUCUCCAGGGAGCUGACCGAUAGCACCCUUAGCCUUUAUUAGAUUCUUAGAGGGGGUUAAGAAAUGGAAGAACUGAGCAUGCUACCUCAGGCAAACUCUGCAAACAUUUUUGAGUAACAGUGAGUUCAAGGUCAUGGUUACUGAGAGGAAGAGGUUAUGUUAGCUUGUUAGCUAAUUCACUGCAAAGUAAAGGUGGGUGGAUUUCCUUUUUUGAAAACUCUUUCCCAGUUAAUUCCAAUAGGAGGUCCAUUUGGUAGGGCAACGUUCUUUUCAGAAAGAAAUUAAACAUUCAUUCUAACACAGAGACAAGAUGGUCAAAAAUACAAAUUAUAUAUAAUUUGUAUAAAAUCAACUGAAAAGAUAUUAUAAAGGAAUGGUACAUUAGAAAACUAUAGAGCAAAAUUUAAAGAAAGAAACAUUGAAAACUUUGGCCCAAUUCUCACUUAUUAUUUGCAACUUAAACUAAUCCUAAUUUUAUUUCCAGAACUGUGUAGACUCUUUUUUUUUAUGUACAACUUCAUUUUUAUUUAUUUUUAAAAAAUCAUUAAUUUAUUUAAAUUAAAAAUAAAAACAAUUCACCCAAGUGUUUGGUUUUAUGAAAAAUAACCCAGAUUGAUAGCUACAGAUGAGGAAUUACGAUGGAUGUUCUUUGCAUUUAUGCAUUUUUCUAAGGAUCAUUUAUAUUUGUUCCUUUCCUAAGCCUGGGUUAAAAAAAAAAAAGGGUUUUAAUCUUUUACUCUAUGGAACUAUUGUAACUAUAUUAAGAUGAUUCAAUUGGGAAAUCAUGAGAGUAACCAUUAUGGCAACCUUAAACAAAUUAUGGGAAAAUAUGUUCUCAUGAGUAAAAACAAUCUCUAUAAGUAAAAUUUUCCUUCUCUUGCUUACUCUAAUGAAUUUUAGUUUGAUUUUAUAGUGACAGCCAAAUUACUUAAUAUCUGUGUUCAUAAUUUACUCUUAUUUCAGAGAGUUGGUUUAUCAACCACCUGGGGAAGUCAUUUAAGUUCUCUGGGACAUUGUUGUUAUUUUGUAACUUUUUUAAUACUAAAAAUGAGAAUUUUGAUUUAGACUGCAACUUUGAAAAUCCUCUCCAGAUUUAAAUGUCUAUGAUUAAUAAUACACAGGUAAAAAUAAUGUGACAGAUGUGCUAGAUAAGAAAACUAGCAUGGGCAUCAUCUUAGAAGAGGUGCUCCAUAAAUAUCUGAACUAAGUGAAAACUUGAAGAACUCUAACUUAAAUUAAUUUGGAUGACAUGAAUUUAUCAGUCACAUGACAACAUUUAAACAUUAGAUAGUAAUUUAAUAAUUUUUAAAAUACCAUACUUUGCACUUCAAAUUAUGAAAAUAAUAAGGUAUAGUAGCUUGGUAAAAUUUUUAUUUUAUGCUCUGAAUGCUAGAGAGGCCUCGAGAGAAACAAAUUCCACAGACCUACUGCAGACCAUCUCCUAAGUGCUGAUGGAGUGGGAUCAAGAUGGCAGAGGACGAAGACGUGGUGUUCACCUUCUCCCAAAAACACAUAAAAAAAACCGUCUACAUGUAGAAUGAUUCACAUAGAACAUCUACUGAAUACUGGCAGAUGAUCUUAAGCCUCUGAAAGGGGCAAUAAACCAUCCACAUAACUGGGUAGAACAAAAGGAAAAAAGAGAGAGAGAGAUAAGAGAAAAAUUAAAGGAAUCGGGAUAGGACCAGCACUCCUGAGAUGGAGCUGUGAAAGAGGAAAGGAAUCUGCACCCUGAGAGGCCACCUAACUGAUGGAGAGAACAGCUGGAGAUGGAAAGGGAACCUCAAAGCCUCAGAGAAAAUCAUGGCAACUUGACUGAGUAGGGCAAAGCAGAGAGAGAACCACACAAACCAUCACUAACACUGCCCCCAGACUUCACAGCCUGAGACUCUCUGGUGAGGACUGGGCACUGAGACUCAUGCUUCAGAGCUCAGUUCCAAGGAAAGGACUAGGGUUGGCCGUGUGGAGACAGACUGAGGGGCUAGGGAGAAGUGAACCAUGGGCUGGGGAGCUGAGCACCACAACCAAGGGAACCCAGGAGGAGGCCUGGGCCCCACAGGAGAAGCAGGGCACCAUAGUUGGAGAGCAUGAGAAAAGGAGGGGUAGGACCACCAUAGGAAUAUCUUUCUCUGUGCACGUGCAGGCUCUUGGGUGGCAGGGUGGAUUUUGCACAGACCAUGGGCAUCAGACUCCAGAGGUUGGUGUGGCCUGCCACCACAUGGGGUCCAUGAACUAGCAACACCUAUGGCCCCAGUCAACUCAGGGGUCUUUGCAGAGGAGGGCACUGGAACCCAGCACUAACCAUUGUUGGUCUACCGCUUUUGGGAAAGGACACUCCCUGCUGCUGAAACUACUAAAUACUCUGGGAAUUGCCUACUCCUAAAUGAGGGUCACUGCCACUUCCCAGGGCCCUGCAACUAGGAGCAGCCUGAGCCACCUCCAUGUGGGUCCUCACUACCAUAAAGGGACCAGGAAAUAGGCACUGGAUACUAGCCCUGCCCAUUGCCUCCAUCUCCCUGAAAGCAUGUGCAUGCCAUAUGCCAGGACACCCCCUACUCCCAUCAAGGGGAUAACAGCCUGCAAACCCUGAAGAAAGAGACAGCAAGCAUCCAAACCAAAAGCAGUCUUCACACAAAAGGUAAGCACUCACAAACUACAUAUUGAUGCUCUCGCAUGUAAAGAGCCUCCAAGACUACAGUAGUUAUUUUCCCUAAACUCAGGGAAUAAGAAAACAUAAGCAAAAUGAAGAAACUCAGGAACCAUUCCCAGUUAAAAGAACAGAAGAGUUCCCCUGAAGGAUCAAACGAUGAAACAGAUCUCUGUAGUUUAAUAGACAUGAGUUCAAAAAGCAGAUAGUGAAAAUACUGAAGGAAUUAAGAGUGAAUAUGAAGGAAUUAAGAGUGGAUAUGAACAGUAAUACAGAUUACUUCAGAAAGGAACUAGAAACUAUAAGGAAUAUCCAAGACAAAUUAGAAAAUUCUAAUUUUGUCAGCAGAGACACAAGCUGACUUAAAGACACUGAAAAGCAGAAUGAAUAAUACAGAAGAAUGAAUAAGUGACUUGGAAAAUAGAAUAAUGUAAACCGCCCAAUCAGGACAGCAGAGAGAAAACCAAAUUAAAAAAACAUGAAAGCAAUAUAAGAGAUAUAUGGGAUAAUAUAAAGCAGGACAAUCUAAGCAAAACAGAGAGUCCAGAAAGAGAAGAAAAAAGAAAAGGGGAUUGAAAAUAUAUUCGAAGAAAUUAUGGCUGAAAACUUUGUGAAUCUAAAGGAAACAGAUAGGCAGGCACAGAGGGCCCCCAACAAAAAGAACGCAGACAAACACCAAGACAUAUUAUGAUAAAAAUGUCAAAAGGUAAAGAUAAGGAGAAGAUUCUAAAAGCAGCAAGAGAAGUUCCUGCUGUGGCUCAGAGGUUAAUGGACCUGGUUAGUAUCCAUGAGGAUGCAGAUUUGAUCUCUGGCCUCACUCAGUGGGUUAAAGAUCCAGCAUUGCUGUGAGCUGUGGUGUAGGUCACAGACACGGCUUGGAUCCUACAUUGCUGUGGCUGUGG